rnacentral:lncRNA from 1 species
UUGAUCCUCAUCCACUAAUAAGGCAAAAAAAAAAAAGAGAAAAAACAUGCUCAGUCGAAUACCAUAAAAGACGACUUAAGCAAAAUUAGGGCAUCCUGUUGGACCAAAUUCUUCAAAGAAGCAAUCUAGGAAAAGUUAGGGAUAAUGAAAAGGAGGUCAUCAAAAUCCUCAACAAAAUAAAAUAAAAUAAGGACUACCAUUUCAAGAAAAUAUCUUC